UAGGGAAUCUUCCACAAUGGACGAAAGUCUGAUGGAGCAACGCCGCGUGAGUGAAGAAGGUUUUCGGAUCGUAAAGCUCUGUUGUUGGUGAAGAAGGAUAGAGGUAGUAACUGGCCUUUAUUUGACGGUAAUCAACCAGAAAGUCACGGCUAACUACGUGCCAGCAGCCGCGGUAAUACGUAGGUGGCAAGCGUUGUCCGGAUUUAUUGGGCGUAAAGCGAGCGCAGGCGGAAGAAUAAGUCUGAUGUGAAAGCCCUCGGCUUAACCGAGGAACUGCAUCGGAAACUGUUUUUCUUGAGUGCAGAAGAGGAGAGUGGAACUCCAUGUGUAGCGGUGGAAUGCGUAGAUAUAUGGAAGAACACCAGUGGCGAAGGCGGCUCUCUGGUCUGCAACUGACGCUGAGGCUCGAAAGCAUGGGUAGCGAACAGG
rnacentral:rRNA from 1 species